rnacentral:tRNA from 1 species
GCCUGGAUAGUUCAGUUGGUUGGAGCAUGGUGCUGAUAACCCCAAGGUUGCAGGUUCGAUCCCCAUAUGGGAUG